rnacentral:lncRNA from 1 species
UGAUCUCUAGAAUCCAUGUGAACAGCCAGACAUACAUUAUGGCACACAUUGGUCAUCCCAGACCUGGGGAGGCAGAGACAGGAAGAUCUGAGACUCGCUAACCAGGUCACCAGGCCAAACUUACUUACUUGGCAAGCUCCAGGAGAGUGAGAGACCCUGUCUCCAAAAACAAAACCAAAAAACCAACAAGGUGGAUAGUGCCUGAGGAAUGACACCCAAGGUUGACUUCUGGCCUCCACAUAUACAUGCACACAAGUUAAGGCCCAUAAGCAUACUUACAUAAAGAUGCACACGCUUGUGUCUGUGUAUGUAUACAUGUGCGUGCACACACACACACACACACACACACAGAGACAGAGAGAGACAGAGAGAGAGACAGAGACCUUCCUCUCACUUGUUUUAUAAAUGAGAAAGCCCUGGUUCUGUGAAUUCACUCAGUCAAUGCAAAUGUAUGUAACCAGGACCUUGGUGUGCCUACGCAUCAUUCUGAUCAUCUACUCACAUUGUUCAACACUCUCUGUGUCGAGCACUAGGUUAGGCUCUAGUUAGACCCCUUGGUUUUAGGUCUGUAAAAGUGUGCAAGCAUGUGUGUGUGUGCGCGCACAUGUGUGUGUGUACACUAGUGCACAAGCACAUGGUUCCAAUAAAGUCUCUCUGUUCAUGUC